AGACACGAGGUGAGCUGGUUGCUGCUUUGAAAAAGAAGCACGUGGCCAUCCCCAUGACAUUGGACUCAAGGUUCGAGCGGGUGGCAAGAACAAAAAAAAAAAAAAGAAGACGGAGGACAAGACGUCCACUGUGUCGCUUGUGGAGCAUGCCUGACUGGUUGAAAAGCUGCGGUCGGCAAAGCAGAGGGUGGUGAACCUGAAGCAGGAGCUCCAGAUAAAGAGGACGCUACGAAGGAGACUGCAGUAGCAGCUGCUGGCACUACAGGUGGACAAUGCCCCGUCUGGCGGUGUUGGGUCAGCUCCUCCAGCUUGCCCAGCAGCAGUUCCUGCAGCUGGUGCUCCUGCUUCAGUUUGCGUUGUGCGAGCUGGUGUAGAUCACACCCGACCCGUACCGGCCGCUGAUGCUGCUGUUCCAGCAGCAGUUCUCUUAGCAGGACCACCGGAUUCACCUCCCGAGUGUG